rnacentral:misc_RNA from 1 species
AACGCACAUUGCGCCCUCUGGUAUUCCGGAGGGCAUGCCUGUUCGAGCGUCAUGUAAAGAAUCAUCAAGCUCUGCUUGGCAUUGGGGGUCUCGCCCGCUCGCGCGGGCGCCCCCUAAAUCGGUCGGCGGCGGCGAUUAGCCUCAAGCGUAGUAAAACAUUCCGCUUUUCGAGUGCCAUUCGACGCCCGCUUCCAGAAAACCAUACACCUAAACAUUGACCUCGGAUCAGGUAGGGAUACCCGCUGAACUUAA